rnacentral:rRNA from 1 species
GACGAACGCUGGCGGCGGGCUUAACACAUGCAAGUCGAACGGAAAGGCCCUGCUUUUGUGGGGUGCUCGAGUGGCGAACGGGUGAGUAACACGUGAGUAACCUGCCCUUGACUUUGGGAUAACUUCAGGAAACUGGGGCUAAUACCGGAUAGGAGCUCCUGCUGCAUGGUGGGGGUUGGAAAGUUUCGGCGGAUGGGGAUGGACUGGCGGGUUAUCAGCUUGUUGGUGGGGGAGUGGCUUACCAAGGCUUUGGCGGGUAGCCGGCCUGGGAGGGUGACCGGCCACAUUGGGACUGAGGUACGGACCAGACUCCUACGGGAGGCAGCAGUGGGGAAUAUUGCACAGUGGGCGGACGCCUGAUGCAGCAGCGCCGCGUGCGGGAUGACGGCCUUCGGGUUGUAAACCGCUUUCGCCUGUGACGAAGCGUGAGUGACGGUAAUGGGUAAAGAAGCACCGGCUAACUACGUG